AUGGAAUCAGGGUACCAUCCGAUACAACGGAAGACCAACUGCUCUAGAUGGUGUGGGGAAAUCUAUGUACCUUUCCCAUUUGGCCUAGAGGGCGAUUGUUCAGCAAGGAUGUCAUUUCAACUCAAUUGCACAAAUUUGUCAAUGUCUGCCCUCCAGUUUCCUCAUGAAUAUGGUACAGGCACUUAUGUAAAGUAUAUAGAUAUCACGGAGGGGCUGAUGAAUGUUACAUACAACUUAUAUGACGAAGGGUACUUUGCGGUGCGAGUACCAAAAGACGGUAUCCUCUAUAUUGGCACUGAGGUUGUAAUACGACAGCAGUGGGUCGUAGCCAAUUUAACAUGCCAUGAGGCACUGGAGAAUAGGACCGGAUAUGCAUGCGUCAGCAUGAAUAGCAUAUGCUUGGGUGUCAACUCCAAAUGGGAAUAUGUUGGUUACCGUUGCAAAUGUGUGGCAGGCUUUGACGAGAAUCCAUAUAUCGUGAAUGGGUGCAAAGGUACACAUUGCAUCUCUAUGCAUCCUCCUAAUAUGCAAACCAUCUCUUUGUUAGGGAAAUGCCAUAAUAAAUGGGUGAUCGCAUACCUUUUCGAGAAGUCAUAUUUUUAUAUCUCAAUGGGCAACUUAAUUACAAUACUUAUAUAUUUUAAUCUUGCAUUAUAUAUACUUAUUGUUGCAGAUGUUGACGAGUGCAAGACACCAGGCACAUGUAAUGGGAUUUGUCAUAACACCGAAGGAAGUCACUAUUGCACCAAAUGUAUCGCCACUGGGAUUGGCGUUGGUUUUGGAGUUCUACUUCUCAUAUCAAUUCUAACAUUAUUCGCCCGUAGAUGGGAAAAAGACAUCAAGAAGAAACUGCGAAGAAAGCAUUUUCGGCAGAACCAAGGUCCGCUCCUUGAACAAUUGAUAUCGUCAGAUGAAAAUGCGAGUGACAACACUAAGAUUUUCUCACUAUUAGAGUUAGAAAAGGCAACAAAUAAUUUUGAUCCCACACGUAUCGUUGGUCGUGGAGGGCAUGGCAUGGUUUAUAAAGGCAUCUUAUCCGACCAACGGGUAGUGGCCAUAAAGAAGUCUAAAGUCAUUGAGCAAGUUGAGAUAAGCCAGUUUAUCAAUGAGGUUGCAGUCCUCUCCCAGGCAGAUCACCGGAAUAUCGUGAAGCUCUUCGGUUGUUGUCUUGAGACCGAAGUCCCACUGUUAGUGUAUGACUUCAUCCCUAAUGGUUCAUUAUUUGAAAUCCUUCAUGCUAGUACCACUGGCAUCUCUAUCUUGUCCUGGGAUGAUUGUUUGAAAAUUGCUGCAGAAGCUGCUGGAGCACUCUAUUACCUCCACUCGGCUGCUUCAGUAUCGAUAUUUCAUCGUGAUGUGAAGUCCACUAACAUACUCUUAGAUGGAAAUUACACUGCAAAAGUUUCAGAUUUUGGUGCUUCAAGGUUGGUUCCUAUAGACCAAACUCAUAUCGUUACAAAUAUACAAGGCACAUUUGGAUACUUGGAUCCGGAAUAUUAGCACACGGGUAUAUUGACUGAGAAGAGUGAUGUCUAUAGUUUUGGUGUAGUACUUGUAGAGUUACUACUCAGGAAGAAGCCUAUUUUUACAACUGACUCUGGGCUAAAGCAAAACUUGUCCAACUACUUCCUUUGGGAGAUGAGGGAGAAACCACUCACAUAAAUAGUAGCUACUGAAGUUCUGGAGGAAGCAACAAUUGAAGAGAUUAAUGAUGUCUCUAGUCUUGCAGAGACUUGUUUGCGACUACGAGGCGAAGAGAGACCUACAAUGAAACAAGUGGAAAUGAAAUUGCAGUAUGUGCGAUCCAAAAGGUUGAGAGCAUGCCAGGUUGCUGUGACAAAUGAAUACAUGCAACCCUUUUUAAGUGGACAAAGCCAAGACACUCUUCCGAUGUUCACUACUCCGAGUGGUAUAGUAGACAGAGUUAAUAUAGCUGCUCAAAGGAACCAAAAUUGCUACAGCUUGGAGCAAGAGUUCAUGGCAUCGGCGACUCUCCCACGCUAG
rnacentral:rRNA from 1 species